GUUCCAGAAUAAUCGGCUAUACAUUUUAAUUUUUAACUCUAUUUGUUGUUAUAUUACUUUUUUUUUAUUCUUUUUUAUGUUUUUUUUGUAAAAAGUUUUGAUUUUUUUGUAUUUUUUUGUAAUAUUUAAAAUUUGUUUUUUGAACUGGAUUAGUACCCAGGUAAUCAAAGUUUAUUAAUUCGGGAGUAAAGUUUUGUUUAAACCGAAAAAAUAUUGACUGACUUUAGAUUUUUCUUUGGAAUAUGUGUUUUUGGAGAGCCCUCUUUUUUGGUGAAUUUUAUUGGCACAUGUAUGAUUGUUUAGUUUUUAUGUUAUUUGUGUUGCUUUUUUGUUUUUUUGCAUUUAAAACAGAUAUAUAUUUGGCUUAUAAAUUUAUUUUUCAUGUAUUACUAUUAUUAAUUUUUUUUGGAUUUAUUUUUUAUUUUAUUUUUGAAAUUGGAAAAGAAAGUAAUUUUUUCUUUAUGUGUUAAUGAAUUUAAUAAAUAAAGUGGUACAAACCAUCCGUCAAU
rnacentral:rRNA from 1 species